rnacentral:rRNA from 1 species
UACGGGGGGGGCAAGCGUUGUUCGGAAUUACUGGGCGUAAAGGGCUCGUAGGUGGCCAACUAAGUCGGACGUGAAAUCCCUCAGCUUAACUGGGGAACUGCGUCCGAUACUGGAUGGCUCGAGUUUGGGAGAGGGAUGCGGAAUUCCAGGUGUAGCGGUGAAAUGCGUAGAUAUCUGGAGGAACACCGGUGGCGAAGGCGGCGUUCUGGACUGUUACUGACACUGAGGAACGAAAGCCAGGGGAGCAAACGGG